rnacentral:tRNA from 1 species
GCCUUAGUGGUGCAACGUUAGCAAACUCGGUCCAUAUUCGACAGGUCCAGGUUCGAGUCCCGGCGAGGGCA